CGCACAAGGAGUUGCAUUCACUGAAAUUUUGGAUCCUGCUUCCAAAAAUAGCUCCACACCAUGAAGCAGUUAGGAGGUAUUCCAAAGGAAAAAGGGAGUGCAAUUCCCUCUGUGUUUUAUUUACUACUGCAGUCCUUCUCCUUUACUCAGGAAGAAGAAUGCUUCUGUUUUCAAUCUCAUCUGACCUGAAUCAACUCCUGAUGAUGCCCCUUCUCUUGACUAAUGGGGAGAACUAUAUCUUACAAGCUGGCAUCCUAAACUGAAUGACCAAAAAAUAGACCCGAACCGAAGACUGCUGAAAUAAAUAAGCCUUGAAGAAGUUGGACUGUAAGACAGAGCUUUCACCCAAGGAAGCUGAUGCCUGGUUCAUCUUUACCUUGUGUCAUUCCAGUAACCCUCCCUUCGAGCAGCUGCUCUCUGAUGAUGUUUAGCAGUGAGGUGUUUGUACUACAUUAGGUGCGUAUGCUUUAGUUUGAAAUCCUCACU
rnacentral:lncRNA from 1 species